GGUUAAGCGACUAAGCGUACACGGUGGAUGCCCUGGCAGUCAGAGGCGAUGAAGGACGUGCUAAUCUGCGAAAAGCGCCGGCGAGGUGAUAUGAACCUUUGACCCGGCGAUGUCCGAAUGGGGAAACCCAGUGUGUUCCGACACACUAUCGUUAACUGAAUACAUAGGUUAACGAGGCGAACCGGGGGAACUGAAACAUCUAAGUACCCCGAGGAAAAGAAAUCAACCGAGAUUCCCCCAGUAGCGGCGAGCGAACGGGGAGCAGCCCAGAGUCUGAAUCAGCUUGUGUGUUAGUGGAAGCGUCUGGAAAGUCGCAGGGUACAGGGUGAUACUCCCGUACACGAAAGCACACUUGCUGUGAACUCGAAGAGUAGGGCGGGACACGUGGUAUCCUGUCUGAAUAUGGGGGGACCAUCCUCCAAGGCUAAAUACUCCUGACUGACCGAUAGUGAACCAGUACCGUGAGGGAAAGGCGAAAAGAACCCCGGCGAGGGGAGUGAAAAAGAACCUGAAACCGUGUACGUACAAGCAGUGGGAGCCUACUUGUUAGGUGACUGCGUACCUUUUGUAUAAUGGGUCAGCGACUUAUAUUCUGUAGCAAGGUUAACCGUAUAGGGGAGCCGAAGGGAAACCGAGUCUUAACUGGGCGUUAAGUUGCAGGGUAUAGACCCGAAACCCGGUGAUCUAGCCAUGGGCAGGUUGAAGGUUGGGUAACACUAACUGGAGGACCGAACCGACUAAUGUUGAAAAAUUAGCGGAUGACUUGUGGCUGGGGGGUGAAAGGCCAAUCAAACCGGGAGAUAGCUGGUUCUCCCCGAAAGCUAUUUAGGUAGCGCCUCGUGAACUCAUCUUCGGGGGUAGAGCACUGUUUCGGCUAGGGGGCCAUCCCGGCUUACCAACCCGAUGCAAACUACGAAUACCGAAGAAUGUUAUCACGGGAGACACACGGCGGGUGCUAACGUCCGUCGUGAAGAGGGAAACAACCCAGACCGCCAGCUAAGGUCCCAAAGUCAUGGUUAAGUGGGAAACGAUGUGGGAAGGCACAGACAGCCAGGAUGUUGGCUUAGAAGCAGCCAUCAUUUAAAGAAAGCGUAAUAGCUCACUGGUCGAGUCGGCCUGCGCGGAAGAUGUAACGGGGCUAAACCAUGCACCGAAGCUGCGGCAGCGACACUAUGUGUUGUUGGGUAGGGGAGCGUUCUGUAAGCCGUUGAAGGUGGCCUGUGAGGGUUGCUGGAGGUAUCAGAAGUGCGAAUGCUGACAUAAGUAACGAUAAUGCGGGUGAAAAGCCCGCACGCCGGAAGACCAAGGGUUCCUGUCCAACGUUAAUCGGGGCAGGGUGAGUCGACCCCUAAGGCGAGGCCGAAAGGCGUAGUCGAUGGGAAACAGGUUAAUAUUCCUGUACUUGGUGUUACUGCGAAGGGGGGACGGAGAAGGCUAUGUUAGCCGGGCGACGGUUGUCCCGGUUUAAGCAUGUAGGCGGAGGUUCCAGGGUAAAUCCGGUACCUUAUUAACGCUGAGGUGUGAUGACGAGGCACUACGGUGCUGAAGUAACAAAUGCCCUGCUUCCAGGAAAAGCCUCUAAGCAUCAGGUAACACGAAAUCGUACCCCAAACCGACACAGGUGGUCAGGUAGAGAAUACCAAGGCGCUUGAGAGAACUCGGGUGAAGGAACUAGGCAAAAUGGUGCCGUAACUUCGGGAGAAGGCACGCUGAUAUGUAGGUGAAGCCCCUGCGGGUGGAGCUGAAAUCAGUCGAAGAUACCAGCUGGCUGCAACUGUUUAUUAAAAACACAGCACUGUGCAAACACGAAAGUGGACGUAUACGGUGUGACGCCUGCCCGGUGCCGGAAGGUUAAUUGAUGGGGUUAGCGGCAACGCGAAGCUCUUGAUCGAAGCCCCGGUAAACGGCGGCCGUAACUAUAACGGUCCUAAGGUAGCGAAAUUCCUUGUCGGGUAAGUUCCGACCUGCACGAAUGGCGUAAUGAUGGCCAGGCUGUCUCCACCCGAGACUCAGUGAAAUUGAACUCGCUGUGAAGAUGCAGUGUACCCGCGGCAAGACGGAAAGACCCCGUGAACCUUUACUAUAGCUUGACACUGAACACUGGUCCUUGAUGUGUAGGAUAGGUGGGAGGCUUUGAAGCGUGGACGCCAGUCUGCGUGGAGCCAACCUUGAAAUACCACCCUUUAAUGGCUGGUGUUCUAACGUAGACCCGUAAUCCGGGUUGCGGACAGUGUCUGGUGGGUAGUUUGACUGGGGCGGUCUCCUCCCAAAGAGUAACGGAGGAGCACGAAGGUUAGCUAAUCCUGGUCGGACAUCAGGAGGUUAGUGCAAUGGCAUAAGCUAGCUUGACUGCGAGAGUGACGGCUCGAGCAGGUGCGAAAGCAGGUCAUAGUGAUCCGGUGGUUCUGAAUGGAAGGGCCAUCGCUCAACGGAUAAAAGGUACUCCGGGGAUAACAGGCUGAUACCGCCCAAGAGUUCAUAUCGACGGCGGUGUUUGGCACCUCGAUGUCGGCUCAUCACAUCCUGGGGCUGAAGUAGGUCCCAAGGGUAUGGCUGUUCGCCAUUUAAAGUGGUACGCGAGCUGGGUUUAGAACGUCGUGAGACAGUUCGGUCCCUAUCUGCCGUGGGCGCUGGAGAAUUGAGGGGGGCUGCUCCUAGUACGAGAGGACCGGAGUGGACGCAUCACUGGUGUUCGGGUUGUCAUGCCAAUGGCAUUGCCCGGUAGCUAAAUGCGGAAGAGAUAAGUGCUGAAAGCAUCUAAGCACGAAACUUGCCCCGAGAUGAGUUCUCCCUGACUCCUUGAGAGUCCUGAAGGAACGUUGAAGACUACGACGUUGAUAGGUCGGGUGUGUAAGCGCAGCGAUGCGUUGAGCUAACCGAUACUAAUGAACCGUGAGGCUUAACCUU
rnacentral:rRNA from 1 species